UACGUAGGGGGCAAGCGUUGUCCGGAUUUAUUGGGCGUAAAGAGCGUGUAGGCGGCCAGAUAGGUCUGUUGUGAAACUCGAGGCUCAACCUCGAGACGCCGAUGGAAACCAUUUGGCUAGAGUCCGGAAGAGGAGAAUGGAAUUCCCGGUGUAGCGGUGAAAUGCGUAGAUAUCGUAAGGAAGACCAGUGGCGAAGGCGGGUCUCUGGACAGUUCCUGACACUGAGACACGAAGGCCAGGGGAGCAAACGGG
rnacentral:rRNA from 1 species